rnacentral:rRNA from 1 species
GAUGAACGCUGGCGGCGUGCCUAAUACAUGCAAGUCGAGCGAAUGGAUUGAGAGCUUGCUCUUAUGAAGUUAGCGGCGGACGGGUGAGUAACACGUGGGUAACCUGCCCAUAAGACUGGGAUAACUCCGGGAAACCGGGGCUAAUACCGGAUAACAUUUUGAACCGCAUGGUUCGAAAUUGAAAGGUGGCUUCGGCUGUCAAUUAUGGAUGGACCCGCGUCGCAUUAGCUAGUUGGUGAGGUAACGGCUCACCAAGGCAACGAUGCGUAGCCGACCUGGGAGGGUGAUCGGCCACACUGGGACUGAGACACGGCCCAGACUCCUACGGGAGGCAGCAGUAGGGAAUCUUCCGCAAUGGACGAAAGUCUGACGGAGCAACGCCGCGUGAGUGAUGAAGGCUUUCGGGUCGUAAAACUCUGUUGUUAGGGAAGAACAAGUGCUAGUUGAAUAAGCUGGCACCUUGACGGUACCUAACCAGAAAGCCACGGCUAACUACGUGCCAGCCGCCGCGGUAA